UAUCCCGAACUCGGCCAAAUGUGUGGCAGCAGCAGGAAGUGCCGUAGGUGGCAGGAAGUUGUGGGGGCCUGGUCAGGAGGUUCGUAACCGUGUCGAGUUCCGAAAGUUUGAGGAAUGAGGAGAAACGAGAGAGAAAGAUGGUAAGAGGCAAAACGAAAGACAGAGCGCGGUGGUGUUAUACGCUAAUGACGCCAGCGUCCGUCGUGCUCCAACCUGCAAUCGUUAGUUGCUUCGCACUGCCUACUAGUUGCGCCUCACAUCUCACGCGCUGCUCGAUGAGCGCGACGGGCAAACGAAAACCUGAACCGCGACUUUACUAGUCUAUCAUUGAGCUCUGGGACCGGGCUGACUGUCGCUCGGCAAUGUGUGUGUGUAUGUGUGGCUGUGUAUGUGCGAUGUGUUAGUUGGAGGACCGCGGACAAGUGUGAGUGCCGCUGGUGUUCUGGAAUUUUUCUUCAUCUCCAUACGAUUCAUCCAGAUCAUCAACACCAGCGCUCGGAGGUCGCUGUUUUUCCUGUUCGAGAUGCGAAAGCUAGCGGAUGUGCGCUGAUGGAACUCUCUCCCUCCCGGUGCCAGACUGGAGCCACCACGAUCAGCCCAUCUACCAUAAGUUCCCAGUGUAACCAGUGCUAGUGUUUAGUGUGCGUUUAGACACCGCUGUAAACGCGAUUAACGGAAUUAAUUGGAUUACAGUGAUUGAAUUUCGUCCAAUUUAUACACUUUCUAUUUUCGGCUGAUUGUAUCAGUUUUAUUUCUGCUGUCCGAAAUAGUUUUUUUUUUCAUUCGAAUUCAAGUGCCCGUAGCGAACUGAAGAAAGUAGAAAAAUAGACUAUGUGUCAACUAGCUACGGCUUCGAAUGUACCCUCCUUCCGUUUAAUUGAAGUUAAUUGAAAGUUUGACUUUUGUGAUCAGUGUUCCGAUGAAGCAGAUAGUGACCAAGUGCUGAACAGAGUUUGAAACCGUUUCACCCGAAUGCGCACGUAGUUGAUUGGUUAAAUUUGGCUACGAGCUAGAACAGAAGUGGAAAUGCCGGGACUGGAAGAAGGAAUACACGGACACUUGUUGAACAGUGCGAUGUGUGUAUCUUGAACAAAGAGAAUAAAAAAAGAUUACGCCUAUAAGACAGACACAUUUUUACAAAAGUGGCGACAUUGCAGAACGAAUAACUACAUCAUCAUCAUCAGCAGCAGCAGUAGUGGCGACGAAUUCCUCACGAUCUGGGACAUUCAUCGCCACCAAGGGGAGUCUAGGCGAAAAAGAGUAUAAGCACGUGUUUCCCGUUUCUCACAUAGCACACAUCGCUCGACUAGUCGGUCCCGCUGGCAUCACUGAACCAUCUUUGCCAGCCGUCAUCAGCUGUGCACCAGCUCAGCCAGAAACAAUCUUAUGUACACACAUUGAACAGAUUCUGCCAAGUCCAUUUCUAGAACUAACAGAUUUGCAACUCAUGGUCGAUAUUCCAUAUGAUCGGACAAGUCAAUUAAACUUCGUGAUACGUUGGGUAUGUAGAUUCCACUAAAAAAACCAAUUCCCCAUUAACGCCGCCGUGUGUAAAAUGUUUUGCUGAUUUGUCAAAUUGUCUACAUAAACCUCACAACGCUUUUACAUCCGGUCCCAACGAAAAACACAGCAGUAUUCGACAACCUGAAACAAUGUUUAGGAUGCGUGCCCUUCUUGGAAUGGACCCACGUACCAAGCGUUCACGGCCACUGAACGGUACUUGACGGAGCCACCAGCUUUGAGAAAUCGACGAACAACUAUUAGCCAAAUGCCAUCGGGCCACAUUCCAUCACGACCUGGCCCCUUGUGUGAGUGUGUGUGUGUGUGCCUCAAACCGACCGCAUGAAUGGAUCAAGGGAAAAGCACACUCUCAUUAACAUUCAAUGAAUGUUGGGCUUCCAGUGGCGGCACUGUUGCCUCGGCAAAAGCCACCGAACAGCUCAAGAGUUUAGAAAACGGUUCACGACCAUUCCAAACCCGUUUCAGGAGGCGGUAAAUCUCAGCAGCAGCUUCGAAUUCGUGGAACGAACUCAUAUGCCACAUCCUUGGAAACGCGUGGUUUUCGUUUAAUGACCAUUGUGUAAAAUGAGACUCUUAGCACUUGAAGGUAGAAAAAAAUUACCCAGUUAUAAAUAGUACAAAUAAACCACGUUCCCAUGGAACUCGGCGAGGCCAUAUCGCAAGCGUAUUUCGGUUAUCGCGUGUAAGUAGUUUUCUUGCCCUAUGGUCAUCAGCUUGCUGUCGCACUUAACCGAAGAGUGCUUGUGGAAUGCCUAAUCAGAGGAGCGAUAUUCAAAAAACGUACAUACAUGAGCUCUUAAUGCUGUUUACCUAACCAAAUGUCAAAUUGUCUGUCCAGUUCCUGCUAUUUUCGCGGAGCUCACGUCAAUGAAUCACUACCUUGGAAUGUUUUAAAACCAGAAACGUUGGAAACGUCAUCCUGAAUGUCAGAUUAGCUGCCCUGUAAUCGGUAUCCAAACGGUUACUGCUUACCUUUCAAUCGGCAGUCACAACCUGUUAAACCGGACAGCCUGCAUCAAUAUUCACUUGUGCAUACCAUUGACAGGCAACGAUGUAGCAGGGACGUAACUCCCACCGUUACUGCGCUGACUUCACAGCUUGACACCAUAUUAGGAUUAUUGUGCUUCAUACGCACAUCAUCGCAUUCAACUUUGCCGUUGAUUCAUUCACACUUCAACUCACGUAGCUACCGAUGAGAGAUCACUAUUGAAGGCGAUUCCUACCACGAGGAAUGCGGAUUGCCUUUACCAUUUAGGAUCAAUAGUAUAUGAGUAGUAUUACAGGAACUAGUUACGUAAUUGCCAGUCCGUACAUUUGAGCGUAUGGAUGACUAAUCAAACUGCUGUUCGGCGUGGUUAAAUUGUGGGAGUUGUUUUUUAGUCGAAACAUAAUGUGUCUCCAUCAGUGCAAUACCAAAAAUACCAAACUCCAUAAUAAAUACUGCCAGAAUAGCAUUUUUAGCAAAGCAGAAGUUAGAUCGCUCCAAUAACCAUUAGUUGCUGGCAUUCCCGAUUAGAAGCACAUAACAGAAACAUUUUAAAACUAUAUCUCGCACUGUUACUUGUUAUAAUUUUCUGCUAUUUUAACUACUAACGAGACCAGAUUUAUGGCACAGCUUACUACGAAAAUUGCAUUCUGGUAUAAUCUUAUUUCAUUCUGAUCGAGUUGCUCGGCUCACAAAAUUCACUCUCAAAGCAAAAUUUGUCGGACACAAGCAUUUAAGCGCUAUUUUUAUCACCCAGAGCGAAUGCUCCAUUAAAUGGGGCUAGACGUUGGAGAACCCGAUUCCGGACUAUUUAUUUACAUUUUGCUAUUUCCCGGCGCCCGAUAUUAACGCAACUCGGAAACUUCAAAUCCAACCGCAUCGAAAUGUGCGCAUAGAUCUACAGUGAAGAAACCAAGCCUAUUUGAAAGAUGAACAUGAAUCUCUGAAAUAGGGGGAUUGUGGACAAAAUUAAAUGGGACACCAUGACAAAAUGGCUCAAUUGUCGUCUGUUUAAACAUAAAACGUCUAGGGGGUAAAAUGAACAGGUCGUAGUGAUGGUAAUAUGGACCAUCUUAACACUACACGUACCAAACCUCAAAAUUAAUCGGAACGCUAUCUUUAAGCUGCUAUAUAUUUACUGUUUUCCAGCAAAUUCUAAAAAUUUUAACACUUCAUGGCUGUAGAUAUUUGUAGAUGUUUAGAUACCGCUCGCUUGAAAAUCGAUUGAUAUUACGGCAUGACAAUUCAAUUUUCUCGUGUAAGUUUUUUACCCUCAAAAUAUUCUGUAUGUAUGCAAUUCCCACGUACCGAUGGAAAAUCAGCAUUGCUCAAAAAUGCAAUUAAACGCUAGCAUUGCAUACAUAAAGCUCGUUUUGUAGGCUAAAACAAAACAUGACAAUAGGGCCGAGGGUCGUUUUUGUUCCAAUUUUACGUCAGAAUGUUCCUGCUCCUGAUUGGUUGAUUCUAACUUUUUGCACCGCACGCAAUGUUACUGCAUCGAUAGCGAAAUGAUGUUUGGCAGUGUUGCUAUAUUUAUAGGAAAAUAUUGACAUUACUUUUGACAAAUAAAAUGAUUAUCGUUAAAAGAGUAAAAAUGAUUAAAUUGAACAGAAAUUGUCCCGCAAAGUAGAACAAGUAUCUAGUACAGAUUUUCCGCAAACGUGGUUGAUUAUUUUAACAAAAAUAAGACAGCAACCAAGCCAUAAUCUAUUUUUUUCAGAUUUCAUUAAAAAAAAUAGUAACACUGUUCGGAACAUUUCAGCAGGGUGAAAAUGUGCAAAAAGAAGAAUGUCGAAGGAAAAAUAAAAAGCCGAUUAUCACGUCUUGUCUUAGUUUGUAGGUAAAAACCUUCGUCACCAGAAGGCCGCCAUUUUACCCCUACGCUAUGUAAAUGUCCCAUUUUUAGGCAGAUUUUGAAGUCAAGAAUAAUAUUUGAAAAAAUGUGUUUAUGUCAAAGUAUUAUAACCAAUUGUGCAAAAAUCAUGUCUAAAAAUAAGCCUACGAGGUGAUUGUAGUACUUCAAUCACUAAUUAGAGAAUAAUGACUUUGCUUAACAUGUUCGUUUUACCACCAAUUCCCCUAUAUCAACCUCACCGGUUUGACACCCAACAGAUAUGCCCUACCUCUACUGUUGUAUGUUGUAAACGGUGAUAAUGCUUUGCAAAAUGUUCCAAUCAAACUUGUUUUCGCACAACUAAUCGUAGAUAAUGGCAAGGGUCAUGUCGCCCUAGAACCAGUCUGACCUAAUGCUUUCCGGAGAUGUGAGCAUCUUAUUUGCUUUGGCAGUUAUUUAACUGGCGGUGUUCGUGGAUAACCAUUUUUUUCGGCCCCCUGCGUAUGUAGUUGUGUAACUCUUUUCGAUAGAGUCAUACGUACUGGAAUGCCGUCUUAAAAUCUUGUUCAAUGAAAACCUGAUUUGCAGGAAUCGCUAGCAGUGAAUCAUCAGCGUCGUUCAUUGAAGGUAAUGUAGAAAAUACAUAGUGAAUAAUUAAUUGCAGUGGAAUAUAAAUUACGUUUAACAAGUUCUCACGCUAACCUACGACGAUUUAUUUUAUAAAUAGAAAUGUGAUUUUAUUCUUUUUUUUUCUAAGAAAUCAACAUAUUACUCAGCAUCUACCAUACGUUUAUCUAGGGUGACCACUGACCAUAGUAGGCAAGCAAAAAUCCACAACAGUCGCAAGGGAACCCUCAUUAACUCUA